UGGGCUGGGGCUCAGUGGUAGAGCACUCACCUAGCACAUGCGAGGCCCUGGGUUCAAUCCUCAGCACCACAU
rnacentral:tRNA from 1 species